GCCGGGCACCAUGGCGUGUGCAUGUAGUCCCAGCUACUUGGGAGAUUGAGGCAGGAGGAUUGCUUGAGCCCAGGAGUUCUGGGCUGUAGUGCGCUAUGCCAAUCAGGUGUCUGCACUAAGUUCUGCAUCAAUAUGGUGACUUCCCGGGAGCAGGGAACCCCCAGGUUGCCUAAGGAGGGGCGAACUGGCCUAGGUCGAAAACAGAGCAGGUCAAAACUCCCGUGCUGAUCAGUAGUGGGAUCGUGCCUUUGAAUAGCCACUGCACUCCAGCCUGGGCAACGUAGUGAGACCCCGUCUCU
rnacentral:SRP_RNA from 1 species